CGGCGUGCUUAACACAUGCAAGUCGAACGAUGAAGCCCAGCUUGCUGGGUGGAUUAGUGGCGAACGGGUGAGUAACACGUGAGUAACCUGCCCUUAACUCUGGGAUAAGCCUGGGAAACUGGGUCUAAUACCGGAUAGGAGCGCCUACCGCAUGGUGGGUGUUGGAAAGAUUUAUCGGUUUUGGAUGGACUCGCGGCCUAUCAGCUUGUUGGUGAGGUAAUGGCUCACCAAGGCGACGACGGGUAGCCGGCCUGAGAGGGUGACCGGCCACACUGGGACUGAGACACGGCCCAGACUCCUACGGGAGG
rnacentral:rRNA from 1 species